GACGAACGCUGGCGGCGUGCUUAACACAUGCAAGUCGAACGGAAAGGCCCUGCUUUUGUGGGGUGCUCGAGUGGCGAACGGGUGAGUAACACGUGAGUAACCUGCCCUUGACUUUGGGAUAACUUCAGGAAACUGGGGCUAAUACCGGAUAGGAGCUCCUGCUGCAUGGUGGGGGUUGGAAAGUUUCGGCGGUUGGGGAUGGACUCGCGGCUUAUCAGCUUGUUGGUGGGGUAGUGGCUUACCAAGGCUUUGACGGGUAGCCGGCCUGAGAGGGUGACCGGCCACAUUGGGACUGAGAUACGACCCAGACUCCUACAGGAGGCAGCAGUGAUGAAUAUUACACAAUGGGCGGAAGCCUGAUGCAGCAACGCCGCGUGCGGGAUGACGGCCUUCGGGUUGUAAACCGCUUUCGCCUGUGACGAAGCGUGAGUGACGGUAAUGGGUAAAGAAGCACCGGCUAACUACGUG
rnacentral:rRNA from 1 species